rnacentral:tRNA from 1 species
AGCAGCGUGGCUCAGUGGAAAGAGCCCGGGCUUGGGAGUCAGAGGACCUGGGUUCGAAUCCCGGCUCUGCCA